UGUCACACGAUUGUGGCGUCAUCAUAUGCGACUUUCUGAUCACAGACAUGCCUUCUUCUGCAGGUGAAUACUCCGUAAAGUGUUAUUUAGCUACAUUUAUUUAGCCAAAUUAUCAUCCAAAACAAGUGCAUGUAGAUAUUGGGUCUCCUGACUCCUUAUCAAAAUAAUAAAACUGGCAUGCUGGUUGUUUGUUUAUAGGCAAUGUCAAUUAAAGUCUCUAGCUAGCUAAUUAUUUUGAACCUCAUUUCUUAAAGUAUCCCUGACUUCACUUGACAGUUUUUUUUGUUUAACACAGACAUGAGACAUCACAUCUGACAGUGUACAGUAGUAGUAUAUUGUUACUAUGAGCUCCCUCCUGAUAUUAAAAACAAGAAUAUGUCUGAAAUACAUUAGCCCACUCUUUAAUCCAAGCACUGCUGGCUUUACUCCCCUGAAUAAUGUGAUUAGCAAGCUAUCAGUUAGUUCCAGGCUUUUAUGCACUAAAGGAGGGAGUAGACAUGCAGGUAACAACAGGAAAGAGGACAGACAGAGAGAAUUCAAUAUCAGAGAGAGGCUCCCUUUUCCCAAGUCAGUGUUUGCUUCUGGGACAGCCAAGAGAACUGCUGAAUACCAAAAGAAGAGGGCUGAGGAGGAACCAGACUUCCCCAGAAAGAACAAGAGAGUGAAACCCCCAGACCACCCUCUCACUGCCUCAGAAUGGAAGAGCCUAAAAUUGACUUCACCGAAUCCUGAUCGCUUUGACGUCCGGAUGAUGUCAUCAAUGCUGGCCGAUGGGACAGACAUCAACGUGGCCAAGUCCCUGCUGGCCUAUGUUGCCAUGGAUACCGGUACGCUGUCUUACGAGCUGCUACUGCGGUACCUCACCCUGUGUGUCGGCAGCGGCCAUCACUCUGAGGUGUUUGACAUGUAUGAUAUCAUGAGAAGCCGGUUCAGGACAUUAGACACUGGAGCCUCCAGCCUGUUCAUAAAGGGCUUCAGCAGGACAGAACGCUGGAAGGAGGCGCUGACCAUCCUGGAGAACAUCAAGAGGGCCAUCACGCCAUCACCGCGUAACUACGGCGAUACCAUCGCUGGGGCGGUGCUGCAUGGUGAUGGUGACACUGCCUGGGCCCUGUAUGCUGAGCUGAUGGAGAAGGGCCUCAUUCCCAACCAGGAGACAUGGCAGGCCCUGUUCCAGUGUGGUCUCUCUCAUCAGGGCCACGAGGACGGGCUGCAAUCCAUCCUGCUCCAUAUGAGGGACAACCAAAUCUAUCCCGAGGAGACUCUGGCUAAAGAUAUCAAAGCUUGGUUUGAGAGUCUUCCAGAACAGAAGUGGAUUGGAAGCUGGUCCACCGUAGACCCCAGGGGAGUGUGUCGGAGCUGCCAGGCAGAGCUGGAGUCUAUCCAGCUGAGUCGGGAGGAGUACGCCCAGCUCAAAGACAGGGUGAUGGGGGACGUGAUCCAAGGCAGAGACGUCUUCAAUAAGACCACUCCAGAGGAGCUGGAGAGCUUCAAGAACUUUGUCAAGCGGAAGCCGGCCUUUGACGUGGUCAUAGAUGGACUCAAUGUGGCCAACAUUGGCAUCAAAGGGAACCAGUCGCAGACGCUCCUGGAGGUGGUGUCGGAGCUUGAGCGCCAGGGCCUGGUCAUCCUGGUCCUGGGGAGGAAGCAUAUGCAGCGGCCCUCACGUAGCUGGGACAGACAUGACAUGAGCUUGGUCCAGCAGAAGGCCCACUGCUUCUUCACUGACAACAUUUCUGAGGAUGACCCUUUCCUGCUCUAUGCCACACUGCACUCUGGGAACCACUGCAACUUUGUUAGCCGGGACCUGAUGAGGGACCACAAGGCCUGCCUGCCAGACGGUGCCACCCGACGCCUCUUCUUCAAGUGGCAGAGAGGCCACCAGCUGGUGCUGAGCAGCUACACCCCGGGAAAGAGAGUACGAUUCCAGAGGAUAUUAAGUUAUGACACCAUUGUCCAGACAAAUGGAGGCUCCUGGCACAUCCCCUAUGAUGAGAAUGGGGCAGAGAGAUGCACUUAUGAAGUUCCACAGAAGUGGCUGUGUCUCACCAAGGCAAAAUAAGGACCCACUUAGAACUGGUUGAUCUUCACAAACCUGUCAAUACAGUGUUCGUCAAUGAAACUAUAGCAUGUGAAAAAGAAUAAAGGACUGAAAAAAAGUUUUGUACUUUUCUUGUAGUCCUAGAAUAUUUUUUUUCAAAAUGCAUUCAGUAAACCAAGAGGUGUCUUAAAACAACGUUUGUUGGAUUGACCCGGACAUCAACUACUGUUCCUUAACCAAUUCCGGGGUCAUUAUCUUUCAUGGUUUUUUUUCCUCAGCCAGUUAUUUUUUCAGUUUACAACUUUUAUACAAAUGUACUUGUUUGCCAACACAAUGUCCCAAGGGUCGAGUGCAGGAUUUGACCGAUAUAUUACCAUCUUCUCUCCGGAGAGCAGACUAACAAAGUCGAAUAUGCAUUCAAGGCUAUCAACCAAGGUGGCCUUACCAUAGUAGCUAUCAGAGGGCAAGACUGUGCAGUUGUCAUCACACAGAAUUCCAGACAAGCUUGUUGAUGCCAUCCACAGUCACACACUUAUUCAGAAUCACAGAAAACAUUGGCUGUGUCAUUUUGGAAUGACGGCUGACAGCAAGUCCCAAGUCCAGAGGGCUCGUUACGAGGCAGCCAACUGCAAGUACAAGUACGGUUAUGAGAUCCCAGUGGAUAUGCUGUGUAAGAGGAUGGGUUACAUCUCUCAGGUGUACACACAGAACGCUGAGAUGAGACCUCUUGGUUUCUGCUCAUCCUGACAUUACCCUCCAGCAUGACAAUGCUACCAACCAUACUGAUCAUUCUGUGCUUGAUUUUCUGCAAGACAGUCUGUGUUCUGCCAUGGCCAGCGCAGAGGCCGGAUCUCAAUCUCAUUGAACACGUCUUUGACCUGUUGGAUCGGAGGGUGAGGGCUAGGGCCAUUCCCCCCCAGAACUUGCAGGUGCCUUGGUAGGAGAGUGGGGUAACAUCUCACAGCAAGAACUGGCAAAUCUGGUGCAGUCCAUGAGGAGGAGAUGCACUGCAGUACUUAAUGCAGCUGGUGGCCACAGACUGUUACUUUUGAUUUUGACCCCCUCCCUUUGUUCAGUGACAUAUUAUUAAAUUGCUGUUAGUCACAUGUGGAACUUGUUCAGUUUGUGUCUGUUGUUGAAUCUUAUGUUCAUACACAUAUUUACACAUGUUCAGUUUGCUGUAAAUAAACAUAGUUGACAGUGA